GUGAGCGUAGUUUAGCUACAAGACGUCAGAUUGUGAUUCUGAAGACAAAGGAUAGAAGCCUUUCGCUCACC
rnacentral:tRNA from 1 species